UUGGUCGCCGGGGCUUUGUUAAGUCCCUGCACGAGGCUUUGUGCUGUGCAGGGAUCGCAGCGUUCCAAGACGACGUUGAUCUGAAAGGAGGUCGGAUCCAGCGAGGGCUGAUGGAUGCCAUUCACCAUUCCUGGGUUUUCAUCCCAGUCAUUUCUUCAAACUAUGCCUCCUCGAAGGUGGUGCCUUGAAGAGCUCGCGGAAAUCAUGAAAUGCAUUAAAAUGGAGAAGAUGACUGUUUUUCCGGUGUUUUAUGAAGUUCGGCCGACGGAUGUCCGGCACCUGAAGCCUCCGUUCUCCGCCGCGUUUGCACAGCUUCAGGAUUGCCGGAAGGUGAAGGUAUGAAAGCGCGCCCUAAGUGAAGUAGCCGACUUUUCGGGAUUUGACCUCAUCGACACCUACCAGAGGGGCAUUUUUGUAAACUGUUCGAGAUCCCAUCUGCAUGGGAUUAACUUCCCCAUUUAAUAAGUUAAUUUACAAAGACCCAGACGGUGUUCAAACGUAAUUUACGGACGACAAAAUUCAAGGCUACCUUGUAUCCGAUUCUGCAAUUUCGGCGACGUGCAAGGCCAGGCUAAACGAUGCAAACAGGUGAAGACGAAUUCAACGGCGACGGUGCCACUGGUGCCGAUUUCACCAUGUUCAACAAAGUAUUGCACCAAUGCGCUUUGGUUUCAAUGAAUACACAAAAAUUGUAAAAUUGGAGGGAUCAAAGCCGAAGCGUGUUUGUCAUGUAAUCCGUUAGGACGACAUGACAGAGUCGUAAUUGCCCAAAUGUGAAAUGAGUACAAAACUUUGGAAUGUUUGCUUUUGUAAUGAUUUGGGCUACUUUGAUUUUUUUUUCUUCAAAACUUUCGAAUGUUUGUUUUUGGAAUGGU